rnacentral:ncRNA from 1 species
CUUAUCAAGAGUGGUGGAGAAACUGGUUCUGUGAAGCCCGGCAACCUGACUGCCGUUAUAGGUGGAGAAGGUGCUAAAUCCUGCGGUGAAAAUCCGAGAGAUGAGG